CCUACGGGAGGCAGCAGUGAGGAAUAUUGGUCAAUGGACGAGAGUCUGAACCAGCCAAGUAGCGUGAAGGAUGACUGCCCUAUGGGUUGUAAACUUCUUUUAUAGGGGAAUAAAAUGCACCACGUGCUGGUGUUUUGUAUGUACCCUACGAAUAAGGAUCGGCUAACUCCGUGCCAGCAGCCGCGGUAAU
rnacentral:rRNA from 1 species